rnacentral:rRNA from 1 species
UACGUAGGGUGCGAGCGUUAAUCGGAAUUACUGGGCGUAAAGCGUGCGCAGGCGGUUAUGUAAGACAGAUGUGAAAUCCCCGGGCUCAACCUGGGAACUGCAUUUGUGACUGCAUGGCUAGAGUACGGUAGAGGGGGAUGGAAUUCCGCGUGUAGCAGUGAAAUGCGUAGAUAUGCGGAGGAACACCGAUGGCGAAGGCAAUCCCCUGGACCUGUACUGACGCUCAUGCACGAAAGCGUGGGGAGCAAACAGGAUUAGAUACCCCCGUAGUCCU